rnacentral:rRNA from 1 species
CUAAGGAAUAAUACGGAGGCUACACAUACUGUUGAAACAAAGUUCAGUUUUGAGGGGCUUACCGGUCAUCAUUAUGAUCAAUUAUUUUCCUUUAUUUAUUACAAUAAAUAAACCGAGAAACCACUGCGUAUUUUUGAGUUUUUAACGAAAUAAUCGCUAAUACUCAAUUAAUAAGGUGAUCACGAAGUGACCGUCA